rnacentral:rRNA from 1 species
AAUAAGCUAAAUAAGAGCGUAUGGGGAAUGCCUAGGCUCUCAGAGGCGAUGAAGGACGUGAUAAGCUGCGAAAAGCUGCGGGGAUUGGCACAUACAAAUUGAUCCGCAGAUAUCCGAAUGGGGCAACCCAGCAUGUUGAAGACAUGUUAUCCGUAAGGAGGCGAACCCGGAGAACUGAAACAUCUAAGUACCCGGAGGAGAAGAAAACAAAAGUGAUUCCGCUAGUAGUGGCGAGCGAACGCGGAAUAGCCCAAACCAAUAUUGUUACGGCAAUGUUGGGGUUGUAGGACUGCGAUAUUUGAGUCAAAGUGAAGUAGAACUGUUUGGAAAGACAGACCAUAGAUAGUGAUAGUCUAGUAUACGUAAGCGAUGAUAAGAUAGCAGUAUCCUGAGUAGUGCGGGGCACGUGUAACCCUGUAUGAAUUAGUCGGGACC